AUAACAUUUAUUUGUGUUAUCAAAGAAAUGUGUAAUUAUUGUAAUGCGUUGUCUUUUCCCCCCAAUGGCAUCAGGCUGCUGCUCAACAGAGGGAAUUAUAUCUGAAAAAGGAAGACCCUUUCAGAAACAAUGCGUUCGUGCUUAUCAAGAAAAUGAUGGACUUGAGUUACACCCCUUCAGAAUAUACUUAUGGGUUAGUGGAUGAGAUUCUUCACAGCAUCUUCUUUUUGGGAAAGAUCAACAAGCCACCAUUUUCCCCAGAAGAUAUUCUGAGUGAUGAUGACAUGCUUAGUGAUUUGAAGCGCCGCUACCCUCAGCCUUUUGAACUCUAUUCCUCUCAACUACCCAGGCGGAGUCCAUUUUCAUGUGUGUUA